GACGAACGCUGGCGGCGUGCUUAACACAUGCAAGUCGAACGAAGAGCGAUGGAAGCUUGCUUCUAUCAAUCUUAGUGGCGAACGGGUGAGUAACGCGUAAUCAACCUGCCCUUCAGAGGGGGACAACAGUUGGAAACGACUGCUAAUACCGCAUACGAUCUAAUCUCGGCAUCGAGGAUAGAUGAAAGGUGGCCUCUACAUGUAAGCUAUCACUGAAGGAGGGGACUGCGUCUGAUUAGCUAGUUGGAGGGGUAACGGCCCACCAAGGCGAUGAUCAGUAGCCGGUCUGAGAGGAUGAACGGCCACAUUGGGACUGAGACACGGCCCAGACUCCUACGGGAGGCAGCAGUGGGGAAUCUUCCGCAAUGGACGAAAGUCUGACGGAGCAACGCCGCGUGAGUGAUGACGGCCUUCGGGUUGUAAAGCUCUGUUAAUCGGGACGAAAGGCCUUCUUGCGAAUAGUGAGAAGGAUUGACGGUACCGGAAUAGAAAGCCACGGCUAACUACGUG
rnacentral:rRNA from 1 species